CACCCACUCUCCACUCUUGUGGGUUGGCAUAAAUUCAUCAAGAGAGGAGGCCACUUGGAUUCAGUUAUUAAACCUGCCAGAUUCAUAUAUGACAGAUCAUGCUGUCAGGUCAUUCUGAAAUAUAAAGAACUUCAGUCUUCACGGAGAAAGAGGAAUGAAGACAUAGAGGAAAAUAAGCACAGGCCAGCCUGCAAGGCACAGGAGGCAGACAGUGGACCAUGCCUGAAAGCUCACGUCCUAGGAUUCAUCUUCAUAAGAGCAAAACACAUUACUAACAUCCAGCAGAGCACUUCACUGAAGAAGGUUCUAGAAGAUGCAGUGUGUUGAGGACAAAGGAAGAGCCUAAGGAAAUGAGAUGACUUUGGCUUCGGGUGGCUUUGCAGACAGUAAGGAUCCCCUCACAUUAGUCACUCGUCACAAAGUGGCUCCUGCACUGAGGCGGCGUGCUCUCGCUUCAGUCUUAAAAAGAUGAGAACCUGAGAAAACCUAGACAAGAGGACACUGAAGAAACCUGAGCUCCUGAGACAGAAAAGGAGAAUGCGAAAAGGAAGUGAAAAGACAG